UGGGCUGAAGUGACCGUCAUUUGUGGUCCUGAGCUGUGAGUGCCCCAUGCUUCAGCCUUGCCUGCAGCCCCGCCCCUCCCCAUCCUCUGGACUUGGAGCGAAGUCUCGCAUUAGGUAAUAGUUGGACGUGCUAUGCCUCCGCUUCGCUUCUGAGGCACACAGGACGGCUGGUUCUCUUCUCAGGCAGUUGGUGGAUAGUCCGGCGAGACCACUUGGAAUAUCUUUUGUCCCCCUGCUGCAGAAUUUGUUUGGCACUGAAAAGCUCGCUUUCUGAUAUUAAAAACAAUAACCUAAGGGACAGGCCGUGUUCAGCACAAUAGGGCUGCCUGCCAAGUGAUGCCAAGAGUGUAUUUCAGAGCACUGUGUGUCCCUCUGGUGACGGAAAAGAGACUUGAUGGGAACAGAUUCCAGUUUCUAUUUAGCUGAUUAGCGGCCUUCUCUUUAACACAUUGGCUGAGGGAGUCAGUUUUCCUGGUACAGGGGCCAGUGCCAGCCUUUCGCACUGCAGGAUUAAAGUGUUUGAAAAGACCCUUCCAGUCCAAAUUCAGUUUUCUCCCCCUUGUCUUGUCUCCUCCUUUGCUUUUUGGCUAGUUACCUGCUGUGUCUGAUCCAGUGCCCCAGAGAGAGGUAGACUGGCCGGAAGCCAAGGCUGUUGGCACCCCUCCCCUGGGCCCAGCCCCGGGCUGCAGGUGCGCGGCUGCUCGGCUCUGGGUGUUUCUUUGUGCCAAAUCCCAGAGCUCUGUCCCAGCAGAGUAGCAGCUUACAGAAAUCACUAUUGGAUCACAUCGUGUUUCCAUCCUGAACCUCACCCACUUGCUCCACCCCCACCUAGAGCAAAGAGAGCCAGAGCAUGCUUUGUGGGGAGAAGGCACUCAGUCCCUGUCUCACGGUCUCCUCAGAUGACUCAGAAUGUGGGGCUUGCAAAUGGAGCUCUGAGUUCAGUGUGCUAAGGCUUGGGGGCUGGAGAGGUGGUUCAGUCAGUAAGUGACUGCUAGGCAAACAUGACCUGAAUCUGGAACCCAGAACCCAUGUGAAAAAACAAGGCAUGCUUUAAUCUCAGCAUUUGGGAAGCAGAGGCCGGGGAAUCUUUGUGAGUUCACGCCAACCUGCUCCAUGUAGUAAGGUCCAAGUCAGCAAAAGCUACAUACUGAGACCCUGUCUUAAAACAACAACAGCCAAAAAAGGCACGGUCACACUGGUCUGUAACCCUGGGGGAAAAGGGCACAGGCAGGACUGCCCUCAGUUCAAUGCCAGCAAGUCAGAGGGCUCUGGGUUAAGCCUGUCUCAAGAGAUAAGGCAGAGGGUAGUUGAGGACGGCUGGCAUUGACUCUGGCUUCCAUAUGCCCUUGUUCACAGGUGCAUACAUGCAUACACUGCACAGGUACAUACAUGCAUACACUGCACACAUGCAGGCCCUUGCACACAAACCCCAACAACAACCACAGCCUAGGCUUUGCAAGUAGCCCCAGCAUGUGGCCAGGGAAACAAACUAGUUCCUGUGAGUUGAGCUGACGGUCUCCACUGUUUUUGAGUGGAGCAAAUGUCAGGGGCUCUUGGGGACCUCCACAUAUCAGGCCUGGGCAGGGGACUCUGCCCAGAGUGUGUGUGCUUCUUGGUGCUGACAGGAACCCAGAGAGCAGAGGAGCCUCGUGUGGGAAGACCUUAGCCCAGACAGCUCCAGACCAUCACAGCCACUGUUAGCCACCUCUCACCCUAGCUGUCCUCCAGGACACGCAGGGAAUUCUUAGGAAAGCUGACCUUUUCCUCUGGAGUGUACCCACCUCAUCACGUGUUGUGACUAGAUGAGGAGCCCCAUGCCCAGUUCAGAAGGCCCUCUGGUCAGCAUGAAGCCCAAGUUUGAUUUUGAGAAAUCCGUUUUAUUAGAAUGUAGCAGAGUUAAGUUUUUAAAAAAGAGCAGGGAGGUCCCAGGACUCUCAGCACAGCAUCCAUCACUAGAUGGUGGGCGCAAACAGGGCUCCUCAGUGUUAGAAUAAACCCGAGCUACAGGCCUGAGCUUGUGUCUGCAGUGAGGGCUACAGUUGCCUUCGGAGGAAAAGCCAAGACUCCCUGCCUCAUCUAAGAGUCCAGGCAAGUAAACUGUAGGGAAGAAUUGAAACAUUUAAAGCUCCUAUGGACAAGUUUGCUAGAGCAGCCGUGCCCAGUGGUUAGGAGUGGCUGCAUGGACACACUGUCCCCAAACCUAAGUCAUUAGUCUGCUCUUUUCUCCCUGGGAGAUGGAGGGUUUUAAGCUCAUUCAGUUCCAGGAAGGUGGUCACAGCAUCCUGCCUCCUUACAGUUCUGUCGGUGGGAACCCCUGUUGAGGGCAGGACCGCAGGAAAACACUAGGGACAGGGGGAAGCCUCUGGGCACAGCCACUUCCCAGGGUGCUCGGCUGCAGUCCAUCAUCCUGACUGCCCUCUGCAGUGCCUAGGUGCCUGCCUUUUCUAUUCAUCUGUGGUUUACCGGCGUUGGACUGAGAGCUCCGGAACCAGAACCUCCACCUUCCUGUCGGUGCGUGGAGGAGAGCUCGUGGCUGGUGACCGAGAGCUGUGCUCGCUGAGGUCCCUCCCUGUGUGCCUCGACAGUGACACCCAGGGUUAGAGUGGAGCAUCUUCAGGCUCUGCCAGGGAGAGCCAGGGCCAGAGUCAGUGCUGGGGUGAGACUGCCACUGUCAGGUUGCUAGGCACAGUCCUUGGACCAACACCUCUGUCACCCUCCCCGGGUACAGCUUUGGUGUGUGUGUGUGUGUGUGUCUGUCUGUCUGUGUGUGUUACAUCCAUAUUUGUGUAUAUGCAUACAUCUAUGUGUGUAUCUACAUCUAUUGUGGGUGUGUGUACGCUACAGCACGUGUGAAGAUCAGAGACAACACUGUCUUCAGCUCUUGCUUCCUCCAUGUUGGCUGUGUGUUCAGAUUAGCUGGCCCAGGAGCUCCUGGUGACUCUGCCACCCUCCCUCUCAUCUCACCAUAGGAGAGCUGGAGUACAGACAUGUGCUGCUGCGUCUGGCUUUACCUGGGUCUUGGGGGCCAAACUUGGGUCCUUAUUCUUGUCUGCCAAGUGUUUUACCCACAAAGCCGUCUCCCCAGCACAAGGUCAUUUUCAGAACCACUUCCUUGACGUAGAGCUCAUGUGUCAUGUGAUCCAUCAACUUAACCGCACAGUCGAUUUCAGGACGGUGCCCCGGAUAGAAGCCCGCACUGUGAGCAGUCACUGCUGUCUCCCCCAAGCCCUCCAUUCUGGCGUGCAUUUACCUGUGAUGUUCGGGAAAAUGAUUGACAUGUGGCCUUUUAUGACUUAUUCCUAGUCUGAUGUUUUCAAGGUAAGCCCACAUGAUAACUUGUACCAGAACGUCACUCACUCCUUUUUAAUGGCCAAGUAAUGUCCAUCAUUGGACGGACAACAUUCUAUCUCGGUAAGCCAGUGGACAUCUGGGUGGUUUAAUUAAUUCAGUCUCUUAAUAGUUUUGACCAUUGCCAUAAUUCCCGUGUAAUUUUUUAUGUUUCUUCAAUUCUCUUGGGUGUAGAUACCUAGGAAUUGAGUUGCUGGCUUCGGCGGUAAUUGCCACACUCUUCUCAAGUGGCUGCUCAUCCUAUCUGCCCUGGCCCUGGGGAAUCUUCCAGCUCCUCUAUGUCCUCAGUCUGUGAGGCACCUCCUUGUGCACCAUGCUGGUGCCUAAGGACCCAUUUCCUGUGUCAUCGGCACAUCUUCCGUGGAGAGAUGACUGUUUGAGUGGGGUGCAGGUUGAGACGUGGUCUCACUGUAGCACACUGGCCUAGCAUUUGCUGGGUACAGUUAGGGCGGUCCUGUGUCUGCUGCUGAGUUCUGGGCUUACAGGCGUGAACUAGCACACUCAGACUCAAAUCCUGUUUUUAACUGAGGUUUCUAUUGUGGAGUUGUGAUGGUUUUUGAUUUUUUCUGGGUGUAAGUCGCUGGUCAGAUCUGUCAAGUAUCCUCUUGUGUAGGUUAUGUUCACUUGUUGACAGUGGCCUUCAAAGUGUGGGCUUUAAAUAGUGAUGGAGUGUGAUUUGUCUAGUUUUUAUUGCUUGUGUUACCACUUAUUCAUAAAAAAAAUUCCUACUCCAAGGGUACUAGUUUGAUUUCUUGAGUUUUAUAAUUUAGUGUCUACAUUGGAAAUGCAUGGCCUGUUAGGUAGUUUGGGUACAGUGCAUGGCCUGUUAGGUAGUCUGGGUACAGUGCAUGGCCUGUUAGGUAGUCUGGGUACAGUGCAUGGCCUGUUAGAUAGUCUGGGGUACAGUGCAUGGCCUGUUAGGUAGUUUGGGUACAGUGCAUGGCCUGUUAGGUAGUCUGGGUACAGUGCAUGGCCUGUUAGGUAGUCUGGGUACAGUGCAUGGCCUGUUAGAUAGUCUGGGAUACAGUGCAUGGCCUGUUAGAUAGUCUGGGGUACAGUGCAUGGCCCGUUAGGUAGUCUGUGUACAGUGCAUGGCCUGUUAGAUAGUCUGGGGUACAGUGCAUGGCCUGUUAGGUAGUCUGGGUACAGUGCAUGGCCUGUUAGGUAGUCUGGGGUACAGUGCAUGGCCUGUUAGGUAGUCUGGGUACAGUGCAUGGCCUGUUAGGUAGUCUGGGGUACAGUGCAUGGCCUGUUAGGUAGUCUGUGUACAGUGCAUGGCCUGUUAGGUAGUCUGGGUACAGUGCAUGGCCUGUUAGGUAGUCUGGGGUACAGUGUGAGGUGGGUGCGGCUUGUGCUCAGUCGUCUCAGCACCAUUCAUUCAUUGUCGAGAUUGUUCUUUCCAUUCUGGAAAAUUAAUUGAUCACAGAGAUCGAGUGUGUUCCCAGUUCCGGCUCUGCCCUGUUUAUCUGUUUCCCCAAUGCCUGACUGGACUGCCCUGCAGCUUUUUGUUAGGAUGUACUAGACAGAGGAAGCCCCCUGUCGCCGUAGGUGGAGGGAGGACGUCUGUGUUGGAGUUGGGUGUGGUGCUGUGCCACCUGGGAGGUGGAGGCGCAAGUCUCAGGACAGCUUGGACUAUAUACGGCGGCUCUGUAAAAAACAAAAUGGGCCCAAAAGAUGGCUCAACUAUAAGGAGCAUGUGCUGCCCUUGCAGAGAUCUGAGUGUGAUUCUCAGCCACAUCAGGGGCCUCACAACUGCCUGUAACUCCAGCUGAGGGGACCAGAUGCCCUCUUCUGGACUCUGGAGGCUCCUGCACACACAUGUGCACAUACAUGCACACAGACACACAUACAUAUAAUUAAAAACACAAUCUUAGAGCUGGGCGGUGGUGGUGCACAUCUUUAAUCCUAGCACUCGGGAGGAAGAAGCAGGCGGAUCUCUGAGUUCAAGACCAGCCUGGUCUACAGAGUGAGUUCCAGGACAGCAAGGUCUCUUACACAGAGAAACCCUGUCUCAAGGGAAAAAAAAAAAAAAAAAAACUUAAAAAGAACAGGAUAAAAUGUGCAACAUAGGCAUGUGAACUAUUGGUACUGUUUUUACAGUUAUUGAGUGUGUGCAUGAUGAGGGGUACAUGUGCCGUGCGUGUUUUUGGAGGUCCGAGCACAGCUGUAGAGUGGGUUCUCUUCAUCCAAGGCUCUGAGGAGGAAACACCAGGCUUGUCAUGAGUAUUCACUGCUGAGCCAGCGUGCUGGUUCUCACUCAGACUUAAGAUGGAAAGUGUCAUCUAAAACCUUGGUACUAACAGCUUUACUGCUUUGGCCAUCAAAGCUGUCCCAGGCUGGCUUGUUGUGAGCUGCGGAGCUCAGAGUUUAGAAGAUUCCUUGAGGAAUCGGGUGCCAAGAGCUUCGGGAUCACCUCAAAGGGAUUGCUGCUUGUAGUUCUUGUAGAAACCUCCACUGUGGUGAUACCGUUUGGCACAGAGCAUGCUAAGCUUAGCCCAGCUGGACAAAGCUGGAUAUGUUGUGCAUCUGAAAAUAUAAGUGUUUCCAAUUGCUAUUGAGAUGCACAUUCUCAGAAGGCUGGCUUCGGUGCUGUGUGAGUGAGGCAUGGAUUCUGCAUACACAUUUAUGUGCAGCCUUCCUCCACAGCUCAGAUACAGUGAGGUCAGAUGGAGGUGUGCACUAACCUUUUAAAAAUACCAGUUUUCCCUAUUCAUUUAGUCACAAUUUAAAAAGGCUUGUGUGUCAAUGUUUUCUGUACAUUUACCUUUAUUUUCUGGAUAGAACUGUAGCCAAGAUUGCGUUCUUCCUGAAGAACAGCCAACCCAGAGCCAAAUGCGCCAGCUUUGCCACCCCAGUCUGCCUUGUUACCGGACGGGACUGUGGAGUCCAAACCAAUAGGAAGCACGCCCCGAGGUGUGACCCCCCAAUUAAAGAGUCUUCUUGCUUCCUUCCUGCCCAGCACAUAGAAAGUUGUGGUGCGCUCGUGUGUGGUGCCUGCUGCCAGGGUGCGUGCAGGGCGCGAACAUUACGCUCACUCCAUCUGCAAGUGUUAUAAUGAGUUAUUCAGAGCUCUUCACACAGGACCAACCAGAGCGUGCCUCCCUCUCCGUUCCAGCGCGUUUUCCUGCCCAUCAGAUGGAUGCUCCUCUGCUGGAGUCUUUGGAAGGUUCUGGUGUCUUUUGUUUUAAUUGGCGGGCUAAAGCUGCCUCCUAUGGUGCAGUUUUCAUUAGUGAAGGCUGCAGAGAGGGAGUGUUGGGGCUGUCCUCCAAGCCCAUCCAUGAAUAUUAAACAUACGACAAUUAUA